GAUGAACGCUGGCGGCGUGCCUAAUACAUGCAAGUCGAGCGAACGGACGAGAAGCUUGCCUUUCUGAUGUUAGCGGCGGACGGGUGAGUAACACGUGGAUAACCUACCUAUAAGACUGGGAUAACUUCGGGAAACCGGAGCUAAUACCGGAUAAUAUUUUGAACCGCAUGGUUCAAAAGUGAAAGACGGUCUUGCUGUCACUUAUAGAUGGAUCCGCGCUGCAUUAGCUAGUUGGUAAGGUAACGGCUUACCAAGGCAACGAUGCAUAGCCGACCUGAGGGGGGGACGGCCCAACUGGGAAGUGAGAAGCGGGCCAGGCCCCAAGGGAGGGCACAGAGAGGAAAUUUUCGGAAAGGGGGGAAACCCUGAGGGGGGAACGGCGGGGGGGGAGGGAAGGUCUUGGAAUCGAAAAACUCUUUUAUUGGGGAAAAAAAAUUUGGAAAGUAACGUUGCACCUUUGAAGGGAACCAAAAAAGAAGGCCAGGGUAAAUUAGGU
rnacentral:rRNA from 1 species